GGGAAAAAGAGAAAAAGAUUGAACUGUUCUUGUCCUCAUGGUACUGCGAGCAAAACAGCUUCCUCCAAACAUAAAACCUAACGGCGGCUUAAAUUAGGAAACCUACACCGACAAACAUUCAUAAAAAUCUUAAUUCUUCAACCCCAAUUAUAAAUAGAGUAAUGCUAUUUGGUAUAAAUAGAAUAUUAUUCUUAUAAAUAUAGCCAUAAUUCUACAAUCAGCUCAAAUUUCUCGGAUCCCUAUACUUCCCUGCUCGGCAAAUCUCUCUGCAAAGAUAUCCUUUCUUUCUAGUUUGAGUUUGUGCCGUUACAUGGAUUCAACGGAUUGUAAUUACUCAAGUUAUGUGGCUCGCAGUGUAAAUCUUUUAUGCUGGAUUAUGCCGGGAAGGAAGCACAGAUAUAUUAUAUAUUGAUCGAUGUUAAUCUUUUAUUAAAUAUUCUAACAUACUUUUCAAUCAUUUUACACGAAAGUAUUUCAUAAUUAAUUAAUUGAUAAUUCUAACUAAUCCAAUAAAACAGUAUUUCUGAAUUAUUGUAAAGAAAAUUCACUUUUGCUUUAAUAUAGCUCAAAGAAUGAAGGAAAAAAAAUAAGGCGGAAAUAUGAAUGCUCGUUGCUGCACUGACACACUUAAUUUUCUUCGUAAGUAAAUAUUUUUGUUGUGGGACUGAUUAAAAAAGUCAUCUUUUUUCCUAUUUCACUUAUUUCAUUAUUUUCAUCUUGAAUUUACGGGCUGCAGUUGAUAGCUGAACAUGGCAGAUUGGACGGAUCUUCCAAUGGACAUUUUGGUUGUUAUCGCACAAUGUUUAACUGUAAUAGAGGACUUUACUUCCUUUAUUGCUGUUUGUAAAUCAUGGCAAUCAGUGACUUCAAUAUUGAAGAAGAAACCUUCAUUGCCUACUAGAUAUCCCGGUAUAAUGCUUGCUGAAAAAAAUAGAUACGGAAGAUCAAGAGAAUCGAGAUGAUCAAGAUGCAUCUAUUCGUUGUUUUCUAAACUUAUUAACCUCUAAGACAUACUUACUCCAGUUGCCAGAAGUGAAGGGCAGGAAGUGCACAGGAGCACAUUACGGAUGGUUGUGGACAAUUGGCAUUGAUUUGCAAAUCAAUUUAUUGCAUCCCUUCUCCAGACAACAAAUUUGCCUACCUCCUAUGCUGACCUUCCCUGAUCAGUAUGAAUAUAAUGAGAAAUUCAAGCCACAAGAGGUUUGGGAUGGCUUUGUUUCGAAAAUAGUGAUGUCCUCAAAUCCUCUUAAGGAGAAAAGUUACAUGAUUAUAAUGAGGAUAGUACUAUGGUUGCUAUUUAUGGAGAAUUUGCUAUAUUGGCUUUUACAAAAUUAGGAGAUACUGUUUAGACUAAUAUCUCCUUCCAAUCUUGUGUUUAUCUAGAUAUUAUUUUCUACAAUGGCAAAUUUUAUGCCGUAGAUGUUCAUGGAGUCGUAGUUGUUUGUAACUUUGAUGAUGUCAAUGGCCCAUAAGCAACAGUUAUCGCCCUUGCUCCAACUAAAACGAAUGAUACAUAUCAGAAGUAUCUAGUCGAAUCAUCAGGACAUCUUCUACUUGAUGGAAGUUUCCGAAAGGGUAUUUCAAUUGAUUUCGAUGAUGAUGUUGACAAUGAGGAAGAGGGUGAUGAUGAUGAUGUAGAAGAAGAUGAUGUUGACAACGAGGAGAAGGGUGAUGAUAUUGAGGAGGACAUGGGUGAUGUUGAUGGUAAUGAUAAUGUUGAUGAGGUGGAGGAUGUCAAAGACAGUGUCAACGAAGAGGAGGAAGCUGGAUACUAUACAACUGGCUUUUUGGUUUGGAGGCUGGAUGAAUGUCAUGAGGAGGGGAGGAAUUAUGCACAUAGAUUAACUCAAUUGACUAGUUUACGAGAUCAAGCAUUGUUCUUAGGUAGUAAUGUAUCUACAUCAAUUGCCUCGUCAGAAUCUAUCAAGCCAAAUUGCAUAUACUUUACAGAUGAUAACGUUGAGCUCUAUUUCGAUGAACCAGGCGGAGGUGGCCACGACACGGGAAUAUUUAACAUAGAAGACAGAACCACUCAAUUAAAGUAUGCAGGAGAAUCUCGUAGUAAUCUUUCACCUCCAUUGUGGUACAUUUGAUUUCCAAGGACAUAUUUCAUUUUCUGCUUGUCAUUUAAAUUAUUCCUUUCAAAAUUGAGUGGAAUGAAGUAUGUACUAGUUCUGUUCAAUUGUUGUUCAUUUAAUUCUACAACAUAUUGGCUC